GACAAUAAGUGUGUUCAUAUUGUGGGACUGACCUGGGACUAUUGGACUGAAAGUUAAAGAAGCCAAAAUGAAAAUCCACGAUUGUUUCUUGUCUUUUUGAACUAAUCAGAUCUGUGAUUUUCAGCCUGGUGUCUCAAGUGUAAAGUGUGUGAAACUCAAGGUUCCGAGUGUGUGGGAGAAGAGACCUGCUCUGCAAACUUCACUCGCUGUGGAAUUGCUCGGAUAGUAUCAUACGUGGAAGGUACUGUAGACAGAGAAGAAAUAAAGGUGUCCUGUUUCCCGGAGCAUGUGUGCAGAGCCGGCUCGGUCAACCUGGGACCGUACAGUGUUUAUUACACAACAAAAUGCUGCGACACAGACAACUGUAACACAGAGAAGCCCCCGGACGUGUUUAUCAAGUCCCGCCCCAACGGCGUAAAGUGUGAUCUCUGUACGAGGGGCGGAUCAUGCAACGGGACAGUGGACUGUGUGGAUGACCAGACUUACUGCACCACCAUCAA